GAGAGAGAGAGAGGAAAUGUGGAGAAAAGGAAAAUGACAGGAAAAUUGUGUGGUAUCCACCACAUUUGGAAUAAAAUGAGUGUGAAGUCCAUUCAAUUACUAAUUUAGCCUUAUAACAUCAUCUUUAAUUAUAGAAGGAAUAAAAUUGUACUUUCACCAUCAUAAAACAAAUUUCCCCUCAAUUUCCUUCCUCCCAUUAUCUUUCCAAUCCAAAUAAAAGAAAAGAAAAUCACCUUCUCAAUUCAUUCCUCUCAUUUUCCUUCCUCCCUAAAUUUUUCUCCAAACAUAGCAUAAGAGUAAUCAUAAAGUCAGUUGUAUCAGAAAAUUUACCACAGUUUGAACUUUGAACUCUGAAGACACAUUUACAUCAUCCUCUAUAUACAUACCUACUGAUAUUGGUUUAAAUUGCAAAUGUAAAAGCUUAUUCAGCAGAAAUCAUAAUCCAUAAAGCUAUAUCUUAGAAAUAAUCUCAUCACUCAUUACAAAGGAGUCACAUUCCAUUCCAAAUUCGUAAAUGAAGACAUAUCUGUUGAAUACUUCAGAUAAUUGAACAAAGAACAUACCUCACCAACCACAGUCAAUGAAG
rnacentral:misc_RNA from 1 species